AUUGAACGCUGGCGGAAUGCUUUACACAUGCAAGUCGAACGGCAGCACGGACUUCGGUCUGGUGGCGAGUGGCGAACGGGUGAGUAAUACAUCGGAACGCGUCCUGUAAUGGGGGAUAACCUGGCGAAAGCCAGGCUAAUACCGCAUACGUCCUGAGGGAGAAAGCGGGGGAUCGCAAGACCUCGCGUUAUAGGAGCGGCCGAUGUCGGAUUAGCUAGUUGGUGGGGUAAAGGCCUACCAAGGCGACGAUCUGUAGCGGGUCUGAGAGGACGGCCCGCCACACUGGAACUGAGACACGGUCCAGACUCCUACGGGAGGCAGCAGUGGGGAAUUUUGGACAAUGGGCGCAAGCCUGAUCCAGCCAUGCCGCGUGAGUGAAGAAGGCC
rnacentral:rRNA from 1 species